UACGUAGGGUGCAAGCGUUAAUCGGAAUUACUGGGCGUAAAGCGUGCGCAGGCGGUUUUGUAAGACAGUGGUGAAAUCCCCGGGCUCAACCUGGGAACUGCCAUUGUGACUGCAAGGCUAGAGUGCGGCAGAGGGGGAUGGAAUUCCGCGUGUAGCAGUGAAAUGCGUAGAUAUGCGGAGGAACACCGAUGGCGAAGGCAAUCCCCUGGGCCUGCACUGACGCUCAUGCACGAAAGCGUGGGGAGCAAACAGGAUUAGAU
rnacentral:rRNA from 1 species